GCACUUACUUCAGCAGAACAUAUAGUAAAAUUGCAAUGAUACAGAGAUUACCUUGACCCUGCUCAAGGAUGCCACACAGAUUUGUGGAGCAUUGCAUAUUUUU
ensembl:snRNA U6 U6 spliceosomal RNA